GGGGAUGUAGCUCAGUGGCUAGAGCGCGGGAAACUGAUCAACCUGAGAGGCCGAGGGUUCGAGUCCUUCCAUCUCCA
rnacentral:tRNA from 3 species